rnacentral:rRNA from 1 species
UACAGAGGGUGCGAGCGUUGUCCGGAAUUACUGGGCGUAAAGGGCGCGUAGGCGGCUUGGUAAGUCGGGGGUGAAAGUCAGCGGCUCAACCGCUGGACUGCCUUCGAGACUGCCUGGCUUGAGCAUGGUAGAGGCUGGCGGAAUUCCCCGGUGUAGCGGUGGAAUGCGUAGAGAUCGGGAAGAACAUCGGUGGCGAAGGCGGCCAUCUGGGACAACACUGACGCUGAAGCACGAAAGCGUGGGGAGCAAACAGG